rnacentral:rRNA from 1 species
GCGUUGUUCGGCAUUACUGGGCGUAAAGGGCUCGUAGGCGGCCCACUAAGUCGGACGUGAAAUCCCCAGGCUCAACCUGGGAACUGCGUCCGAUACUGGAUGGCUUGAAUUCGGGAGAGGGAUGCAGAAUUCCAGGUGUAGCGGUGAAAUGCGUAGAUAUCUGGAGGAAUACCGGUGGCGAAGGCGGCAUCCUGGACCGACAUUGACGCUGAGGAGCGAAAGCUAGGGGAGCAAACGGG